rfam:Methylobacterium nodulans ORS 2060 plasmid pMNOD02, complete sequence.
CGCGUCUUGUGCGAUGGCGGAGCUCGACCGCCGGUCGCGGCCAUGAUCGCCUUCAUCGACGAGUACCGCGCGGUCUACGGGGUUGUCCUUCGACAGGCUCAGGAUGAGGCCGAUCUGCAGAGUUCUGCCGAUCGCCCCG